AGGGCCCUGCUUCUCCCACUACCCUGUGAUCCAGGGUGUUCAAUCAGAACACCCCAUUUCCUGAGUCACAGUGAUUGGUCCAGAGGAAUACACAUGACCCAAGCAUGGCCAAUCAGUGCUCUCUGGAGUAAUUGUCAUGGAUGCUGGCCGUUGAGUUUCUCCUUUUGAGACUGCUAGCUGUCAGUACCAUACAACCCUGGAGCUACCUGAAGCCUUCUUGCCACCAUGUGGAACAAGACUAAACAUCAGGUCCAAACCUAGGCAAAAAGAAUCAAAGAUAUUUACUGAAUGUGUACUACAUGUCAGGCUCUAUUUUAACAGUUUAAGAUAUAGCUGAAGAAAGGAAAAUAUAGAUUACAGGUUGGAUGUGAAAAAGGCAAAAAAGAGUAGAUAAAGUAAUUGAGAAUGAAGGACAGCUGCCCGAUGAAGGCAGCUUUGAUAGAGGAAAAAGCAGCUUGUCUUGUCGCAGAUUCUUAGUUUUGCCCUAUGUCAGCAAACAUGGAACAUAAGAAGCAAGAACAUCUCAAGACAUCCACUGAAGGAAGAAGAGGAGAAAAUAAAAUAAGAAGACAAAAACGACAAUAACGUAUUCAGCAAUAAUAGAUGGCAGACACAAAAGAAGGAACAUUGGAGGGAAAAAGUAGUAGGGCCUGAAACAAGUGGCAGAGGUGGACAGCACAGUCAUCACCCAAAACAAAAGCAAGUGGAGGUGGGGAGUUCAAACACAGUCUUAUGGAACUGAUUAAAAUGACAUAAAUAUGGGUAAAACACAGCAUAAAGUAGGAACAGGCAGUAUAAAAAAUAAGAAGAAAAAAGUAAAAACCCCCAAAGGGCUAAACCUAUGGAAUUCUGAGAAGAAAAUAUGGAUAUGAGUUGAGACACAAGAAAGAACAUUGAAUACUAGCAAAUCUUAUUCCAAAGGACUGCGGUCGGGAUCUUCCUUUUGAUCUGGAAGGGAGACUCAUGGUACAGUUGCAGCUCGAGAGGAGAGGCACACAGUCAAGCCACAGAGGAAGGAGAUGUGCUUUUGGGAAGUCCUGAUGACCACACCCCUGGCCGGGCCUUCCAGUGGUCCAUAGGCUGCCAGCCAGAGAAAUGGAAUGAGUAAUGAGAAUGAUGAUAAUUGAGGAGAGCAGUUGUGUUCUGAUUAUUUAAAAACUAUUCCUAAUAUACAAGUAAAAUAUUCAUUCUAGAAAAAUUCUUUGAAAGAAAGAUAAUCGAAUCAAAUAUGAGUAAAAGAAAAUUCACGAUCCUAAACAGCGAUGUUUCUGAGGGAGAAAAUGCCACUGACAUUUCUAAUUAGUCAUUUGAAGUUUUUGCAGGAACUGCCCACCCAGUCCCAUCCCCCC
rnacentral:lncRNA from 10 species